rnacentral:rRNA from 1 species
ACUCCUACGGGAGGCAGCAGUGGGGAAUAUUGCACAAUGGGCGCAAGCCUGAUGCAGCCAUGCCGCGUGUGUGAAGAAGGCCUUCGGGUUGUAAAGCACUUUCAGUUGUGAGGAAGGUGGUGUCGUUAAUAGCGGCAUCAUUUGACGUUAGCAACAGAAGAAGCACCGGCUAACUCCGUGCCAGCAGCCGCGGUAAUACGGAGGGUGCGAGCGUUAAUCGGAAUUACUGGGCGUAAAGCGCAUGCAGGUGGUUUGUUAAGUCAGAUGUGAAAGCCCGGGGCUCAACCUCGGAACUGCAUUUGAAACUGGCAGACUAGAGUACUGUAGAGGGGGGUAGAAUUUCAGGUGUAGCGGUGAAAUGCGUAGAGAUCUGAAGGAAUACCGGUGGCGAAGGCGGCCCCCUGGACAGAUACUGACACUCAGAUGCGAAAGCGUGGGGAGCAAACAGGAUUAGAUACCCUGGUAGCACAAG